rnacentral:snoRNA from 1 species
AUUCAGUGUUAUGGGCAUUGACAGAGUAAACCCUUGUAUCGUUCCCAUGCCUCUGAGUAGCAUUCUGAGUCUAGUUGUUGGAAGGUGGUAAUCUCAUCCCUUAGCUU